GGACUACAGGGGUAUCUAAUCCUGUUUGCUACCCACGCUUUCGUGCCUCAGCGUCAGAACAGGCCCAGGAGGUUGCCUUCGCCAUCGGUGUUCUUCCAGAUAUCUACGCAUUUCACCGCUACACCUGGAGUUCCGCCUCCCUCUACCGUUCUCUAGCCUGCCAGUAUCGACUGCAAUUCCCAGGUUAAGCCCAGGGCUUUCACAACCGACUUAACAAACCGCCUACGCACGCUUUACGCCCAGUAAAUCCGAUUAACGCUUGCACCCUCUGUAUUACCGCGGCGGCUGGCAC
rnacentral:rRNA from 2 species